rnacentral:rRNA from 1 species
ACGUAGGGCCCGAGCAUUAUCCGGAAUUAUUGGGCGUAAAGAGCGUGUAGGUGUUCCUACAAGUCGGUCGUUAAAUCUCAGAGCUCAACUCUGAGACCGCGAGCGAAACUGUAGGAAUUGAGGUUUACAGGGGCAAGCAGAAUUCCAGGAGUAGGGGUGAAAUCCGUUGAUACCUGGAGGAAUACCAAUGGCGAAGGCAGCUUGCUGGGUAAUACCUGACACUGAGACGCGAAAGCGUGGGGAGCAAACGGGA